rnacentral:rRNA from 1 species
UACGGAGGGUGCAAGCGUUAAUCGGAAUUACUGGGCGUAAAGCGCGCGCAGGCGGUUUGUUAAGCUAGAUGUGAAAGCCCCGGGCUCAACCUGGGAUGGUCAUUUAGAACUGGCAGACUAGAGUCUUGGAGAGGGGAGUGGAAUUCCAGGUGUAGCGGUGAAAUGCGUAGAUAUCUGGAGGAACAUCAGUGGCGAAGGCGACUCCCUGGCCAAAGACUGACGCUCAUGUGCGAAAGUGUGGGUAGCGAACAGG